rnacentral:tRNA from 1 species
UAGCUCAGUCAGUUGAGCAUGGCGCUAACAACGCCAAGGUCGCGGGUUCGAUUCCCAU